rnacentral:lncRNA from 1 species
GAGGGCAGUGUUUGGUGUCAAAUGAGCCUUGAAGACUCUCUGAGUUCCUCUUCACAUCAACCGGUAGAGAUAGAUCAAUUCAAUUCUCUUAACCACAUGGCAGGACAUGAGACUGUGGCAUGCCCACCAAAUACAUACAGGGACUACAAGGAGAAAUCAGACAAGCCUAAGCACAGGGCACAUCCCAGAAGACAUCUAAGGAGAGAAGCAGAAUUAUGAAGCGCAUCCCUCCCCAAACUCAAACUCCAAGGAAGACGUCCAACCUGUCAUCCCAUGCCCCUUUCUAGCACCCCAUCACGAAGACAUGCCUUCACUUCUCGGACUUACGUUUUCCAUCCUCUGGACACGGUUUUCCAGCCCUACGAUUUGCCUGUGUUUUUCCUCCAAUUUUUCUGAAAGUAGAUUCAGACAUUCGGCACUUCCCUUUAAUGCCUCCUCUUUCUCAAGGUUGUUGACCUGUGGUCAGAAAAACAGUUGCUAGACUUUUGUUUUGACUAUCUAUCUAAAACAAAACUGCAAUGUCUUGUAUAUCCAAUUAAAAAGUGUUUUCUUAUCAGAAAAU